rnacentral:rRNA from 1 species
UACGGAGGGGGCUAGCGUUGUUCGGAAUUACUGGGCGUAAAGCGCGCGUAGGCGGACCUGCAAGUCGGGGGUGAAAGCCCGAGGCUCAACCUCGGAACUGCCUUCGAUACUGCGGGUCUCGAGUCCGGGAGAGGUGAGUGGAAUUCCUAGUGUAGAGGUGAAAUUCGUAGAUAUUGGGAAGAACACCGGUGGCGAAGGCGGCUCACUGGCCCGUAACUGACGCUCAUGCACGACAGCGUGGGGAUCAAACAGG